UAUAUAUAUAUAUUUGAGAUUGUCAGAAGUGGGAAUUACAUUUGGUUGUUUGGUUUUCACAAUUGAAAGGCAUCUUGAAGCAUAUGCAUAUCUUCCUAGGAGGUUAUCUACGUUCUUUGAUAAGAUUCUUCCCUAUGUUAAUUACAUUAUAUUCACAAAAAAUAAAUCACCUCAAUGUGCAAAAAUAUUUCUCUCUGAACCCUUCUUUUCUCAUUAUCUGAUACAUUCAUGACAUUUCUUUGAGAAAAUUAAUUAAAAAAAGAUUUUUUUUUUUUUUUUAACUUAAUUGAACUAUGUGCAGGAACUGUUUUCGGAUGUUGGUCACCUGAAAUGUCAUACAAUCCAUUAUGACAGGAGUGGAUUAGGUUCUUCCGAUGAAUUCUCUGUUCUGCUGUACUUUAUAAAAACAUUUUUUUCUUAGGGAACGGCUGAAGUAGUCUUCUCCAGACUAGGAGAUGCUGUGGUUGCUGUCAAGAAGUACAACAAUGUCCAGCUUGAUGGGAAACUAAUGAAGAUAGAGAGUGUGGGUGUAAACAUUGCGACACCUACUGUAGCUCCAGCAGCUAAUGGCACUGUUGGAAAUUUAAAUGGGAUUCCGAGAGGAUGCUGCAACUAUUACCUAUAGGGGCCACGUGUGGAAGGAGUCUCUUACCUUGGACUUGGUAGAUUUUUGUGGAAGAUGCACAAGAAUUAAGCCUAUGCUGUGCUGCUUUUGUGAUGUUCAUCCACUCUCUAAAUCUGGAUUCCUUUUUUCUUUUGAUAUUCAGAAUCAUGCACUAGCCUAAGGCUUUUUGGUCUGGGAGAGUUUUAUAUGUGCCUUCAUUGUUGUAGGUGACAAUCCUUGGAUUCAUGUGAUUAAAGCAUAUACUCCAUUCAUGCAUUGAUAUUCGGAAUCAUUCGCUAGCCUGUGGAAUCAGUUUUGUAUGUGUUUUCAUGGUUGAAGGUGACAAUGUCUGGAUUCUUGUGAAAACAAGUAGUUUUAAAGUAUACACUCCAUUCACACAUUGAUAUUCAGAGGGUUUGUCUGCGGAAGGAAUUUUGUAUGUCUCUUCAUUAUUGAAGGUGACAAUGCCAGGAUUCUUGUGAAAAUAAGCGGUUUUUAAGUAUAUACUCCAUUCGCACUGACAUCAGGGUCAAGAGUUGUUGCAGGCUUGUAAAUCAUUUUCAAUGCCAACACUCCAUAUUUUGUUGCUUGAUGGUGAAACAUUGGUGGUAUGGGUUUUAGUAAUGCUGUCUUGGUUGAGGAGUCAACUCUGAUCAGUCACUGGAUGUAAGUGCAUUGAAUGAUUCAUGUCUUGUUUUGUUGGCCAAUCCAAUGGCUUCUUUUAUGGGAAGAGAGUGACUCUUAUGUGCCUGGUUGAGGCGGGUUCCAAAAUGCUUUAGUUGUUGAUGGUACCAGACUCACAUGAGAGCAAGAGACUGCUUAGCUUUUGCUCUUCUUCUGAUUGAUUUCAGUGUUUGCAAUGUGAUUACCAUUCUAGUAGCUGCAGGAUCAUGUUUAGUACUACAUUCUACAUGGUAGUGCUCUGAAAUGACCGACGCUGCAUCUGCAUUCUGAGCUUGUCGGUAUUCCAAACUGAAAUCCAAAAAAAGAAUAGGCAAUGCUAGAAAUGCUUCUUUUGACUUUCGGUCUAAUUAUUGGAUAAUUCUGUUCGGUUAUUAUGUUAUGUUAACACAAGUAUGGUUUGACUUA